UUUUUUUUGGGGGGAAGGGGGGGAGGACGUCAAAUCUUCAUGCCCCUUAUGACUUGGGUUCCCCACGUGUUCCAAUGGCGUAAACAAAGGGAAGCAAAACCGCGAGGGGGAGCAAAUCUCAAAAACAACGUCUCAGUUCGGAUUGUAGUCUGCAACUCGCCUGCACGAAGUUGGAAUUGCUAGUAAUCGCGGAUCAGCAUGCCGCGGUGAAUACGUUCCCGGGCCUUGUACACACCGCCCGUCACACCAUGGGAGUCGGGAACACCCGAAGUCGGUGAUCUAACCGCAAGGAGGGAGCCGCCGAAGGUAGAACUGAUGACUGGGGGAAGUCGAACACCUUCGGCGCGC
rnacentral:rRNA from 1 species